rnacentral:rRNA from 1 species
AUACGUAGGGGGCAAGCGUUAUCCGGAAUCACUGGGUGUAAAGGGUGCGUAGGCGGCUUGGCAAGUCAGAUGUGAAAGCCCGGAGCUCAACUCCGGGACUGCAUUUGAAACUGCUAAGCUAGAGUACAGGAGAGGAAAGUGGAAUUCCUAGUGUAGCGGUGGAAUGCGUAGAUAUUAGGAGGAACACCAGUGGCGAAGGCGACUUUCUGGACUGUAACUGACGCUGAGGCACGAAAGCGUGGGUAGCGAACAGGAUUAGAUACCCUGGUAGUCCACGCCGUAAACGAUGAGUGCUAGGUGUUGGGGCCGACAGGUCUCGGUGCCGAAGUCAACACAUUAAGCACUCCACCUGGGGAGUACGAUCGCAAGAUUGAA